AAAAAUGUUUACGAUAUAUAAUAAAUACUUCAUAAAAAGUAUUAGUAAAAUUUCUUAUGUAUAUUAAAAUAAUUACCAUAUUUCAAUUUUUUUUUCAUGUAAUCAUGACAGUCAUUUGUAAUAAAGUUUUUUGAUUAAAUUUUUUUUUUUUUUUUUUUUUUAAGUAUUAUAUUAUAUAAUAUACGAAUUCGUAAUAAUCAAGGAAUAGAUGUAAAUAAAUAGCUAUAUACGACAUAUACUAAAUUUAAAUUACAUAGGCGCAUAUAUAUUUACGUAUUUAUGCAAUUAUAUAUGUUUGUACAACAUUAUCUAUAUACCUAUUCUAAAUGUACAAUUAACACAAUACCAUGCAUUAUAUUAUGAAAAAAAAAAAAAUAGAAAUGCAUAAUCGUAUUAUAUAACAUUUAUUCAAUUGUACAUACAAAAAAAAUAAAAUAAGUUUUUGUAUGUAUGUAUGUAUGUAUGUAUGUAUGCAUGUAUAUGUAUGUACACGUAUAUACAUUAUCACUUGCUGAAAUGAAUAGCUAUAAUUAAAUUAAAAAUAAUACAAAGAAAAAUAAUAAGAAAACAGAAAAGGAUAGGGAAAAACAGUAAGUGAGAAAAAAAAAAAAAAAAAGAUAUUUUUUUUUUUUUUUUUUAAAGAUGUUAAGAGUGGCAGAAAAUGCCAAUAGUAACGUUCACAAUGAAGGAUAUGAUUAUAUACAUAAAAAAAUCAGAAAAAAAUUUAUUUUUAUAUAUUUAAUAGCUGUAGGUGGUUUUUCUUAUGUAUAUAAAAUUAAAAAAAAAAAAAAAAAAAAAAAAAAAAAAAAAAAAAAAGAAACAACAGUAACAGUAACAGCAACAACAACAUUGGUAAGGAGUAUAAUAAGCAAUUUGAAGAUAAAUCAUCUUAUUAUGGGUCCAAAU
rnacentral:lncRNA from 1 species